rnacentral:rRNA from 1 species
AUAUUGCACAAUGGGGGAAACCCUGAUGCAGCGACGCCGCGUGAGCGAAGAAGUAUUUCGGUAUGUAAAGCUCUAUCAGCAGGGAAGAAACUGACGGUACCUGACUAAGAAGCACCGGCUAAAUACGUGCCAGCAGCCGCGGUAAUACGUAUGGUGCAAGCGUUAUCCGGAUUUACUGGGUGUAAAGGGAGCGUAGACGGAUGUGCAAGUCUGGAGUGAAAGCCCGGGGCUCAACCUCGGGACUGCUUUGGAAACUGUAGAUCUAGAGUGCUGGAGAGGUAAGUGGAAUUCCUAGUGUAGCGGUGAAAUGCGUAGAUAUUAGGAGGAACACCAGUGGCGAAGGCGGCUUACUGGACAGUAACUGACGUUGAGGCUCGAAAGCGUGGGGAGCAAACAGG